AGCAGCCGCGGUAAUUCCAGCUCCAAUAGCGUAUAUUAAAGUUGUUGCAGUUAAAAAGCUCGUAGUUGAAUUUCGAGAUCAAAUUGUUGGUCGUGCCUUGGUACGCACUGGCAUUAUUGGUUUCUCCCUUCUGACGAAUCAUGAUGUCAUUAAUUUGGUGUCUUGGGGAAUCAGGACUGUUACUUUGAAAAAAUUAGAGUGUUUAAAGCAGGCUCACGCUUGAAUACAUUAGCAUGGAAUAAUGAAAUAGGACGUUUGAUUCUAUUUUGUUGGUUUCUAGGAUCGACGUAAUGAUUAAUAGGGAUAGUUGGGGGCAUUAGUAUUCAAUUGUCAGAGGUGAAAUUCUUGGAUUUAUUGAAGACUAACUACUGCGAAAGCAUUUGCCAAGGAUGUUUUCAUUAAUCAAGAACGAAAGUUAGGGGAUCGAAGACGAUCAGAUACCGUCGUAGUCUUAACCAUAAACUAUGCCGACUAGGGAUCGGAUGAUGUUAAUUUUUUAAUGACUCAUUCGGUGCCUUAC
rnacentral:rRNA from 1 species